GGAAAGAGCCACAAGUCAGCAUCAGGAGUUCGGCAGCGCCCCGGGGCAGAGGCUGCCAACGUCUGGUGCAGCCUCUGCUCCCAGAGGAAAGUCGGCUCAGGCCACAUCCGACGUGUCUGCAGAAACCUUCCCCUCUCCGGCCAGGUCUGCAGUCAAACCUGGCAUCCCGUAGGCAGGGUGGCUGCGGUUUCCAGAGAAACAGCAACUGAUCAUUUAGCUCAAUUUAGAUUUAAAAGUAUAGAUCUGAACAUGCAGUCUACCCCUAAUUAUCCAACCCAAGGGGAGGGAAAGGAAGCCUCACUAACCCAGCAAAGGACAACACCUUCUUGCAACUGAAAUAGACGACUUCUACUCCAGCAGUUCUACCGCCCCCUGCAUGCUCAGCUCUAGCUGACAAAUGAAACCAGCCACAGCCGUUUGUCGAAGGCCAUAGAAGAUCAGCAACCACCAGUGGCCACAGGUUUCGCCUGAACUCCAGCCAGGGAGCUGGAGGACCUUCUCGCCUGUAGGACCCCCGGGGGACGGCACACCCUGACCAUCCACGGACACUCAGCUCACCUCUGCUUCCUUUCCACCUUCUCUGCCUCCUACCUAGCAGCCCCCUUACCUCUUGUAACUCCAGUGGCACCGGGGUGCUUUGUGGAAGUUGUCAAUAAAGAAAAGCAGUCUCGGUCCCUAA